AACGAAAUGAACGAAAUGACUCGAAAAAAGAUUCGUUCAUUUUGAUGAACGAGAGAGUCACGAACGUGCAUCACAGAACAGAGCAAGGCGAGCAUUUGAGCUUAUAAAACUUAAACUUUGUUAUUUAUU